rnacentral:rRNA from 1 species
CCUACGGGAGGCAGCAUUGGGGAAUAUUGGACAAUGGGCGAAAGCCUGAUCCAGCCAUGCCGCGUGUGUGAAGAAGGCCUUCGGGUUGUAAAGCACUUUCAGUGGGGAAGAAAGCCUUGGGGCUAAUACCCUCGAGGAAGGACAUCACCCACAGAAGAAGCACCGGCUAACUCCGUGCCAGCAGCCGCGGUAAUACGGAGGGUGCGAGCGUUAAUCGGAAUUACUGGGCGUAAAGCGCGCGUAGGCGGUCUGAUAAGCCGGUUGUGAAAGCCCCGGGCUCAACCUGGGAACGGCAUCCGGAACUGUCAGGCUAGAGUGCAGGAGAGGAAGGUAGAAUUCCCGGUGUAGCGGUGAAAUGCGUAGAGAUCGGGAGGAAUACCAGUGGCGAAGGCGGCCUUCUGGACUGACACUGACGCUGAGGUGCGAAAGCGUGGGUAGCAAACAGGAUUAGAUACCCGGGUAGUC